AGUGAACGCUGGCGGUAGGCCUAACACAUGCAAGCCGAACGGCAGCACAGUAAGAGCUUGCUCUUACGGGUGGCGAGUGGCGGACGGGUGAGGAAUACAUCGGAAUCUACUUUUUCGUGGGGGAUAACGUAGGGAAACUUACGCUAAUACCGCAUACGACCUACGGGUGAAAGCAGGGGAUCUUCGGACCUUGCGCGAUUGAAUGAGCCGAUGUCGGAUUAGCUAGUUGGCGGGGUAAAGGCCCACCAAGGCGACGAUCCGUAGCUGGUCUGAGAGGAUGAUCAGCCACACUGGAACUGAGACACGGUCCAGACUCCUACGGGAGGCAGCAGUGGGGAAUAUUGGACAAAGGGCGCAAGCCUGAUCCAGCCAUACCGCGUGGGUGAAGAAGGCCUUCGGGUUGUAAAGCCCUUUUGUUGGGAAAGAAAAGCAGCAGGUUAAUACCCCGCUGUUCUGACGGUACCCAAAGAAUAAGCACCGGCAAACUUCGUG
rnacentral:rRNA from 1 species